rnacentral:rRNA from 1 species
CCUACGGGGAGCAGCAGUCGAGAAUCAUUCACAAUGGGGGAAACCCUGAUGGUGCGACGCCGCGUGGGGGAAUGAAGGUCUUCGGAUUGUAAACCCAUGUCAUGUGGGAGCAAAUUAAAAAGAUAGUACCACAAGAGGAAGAGACGGCUAACUCUGUGCCAGCAGCCGCGGUAAUACAGAGGUCUCAAGCGUUGUUCGGAAUCACUGGGCGUAAAGCGUGCGUAGGCUGUUUCGUAAGUCGUGUGUGAAGGGCGCGGGCGCAACCCGCGGACGGCACAUGAUACUGCGAGACUAGAGUAAUGGAGGGGGAACCGGAAUUCUCGGUGUAGCAGUGAAAUGCGUAGAUAUCGAGAGGAACACUCGUGGCGAAGGCGGGUUCCUGGACAUUAACUGACGCUGAGGCACGAAGGGCAGGGGAGCGAAAGGGAUUAGAUACCCGAGUAGUC